GCCAGUGUGGUGUAGUGGUUAGAGUGUGGGACUAAGACCUGGAAGACCAGGGUUCAAAUCUCUGCUCUGCCA